UACGGAGGAUGCGAGCGUUAUCCGGAUUUAUUGGGUUUAAAGGGUGCGUAGGCGGGUUUCCAAGUCAGGGGUGAAAUCCCGGAGCCUAACUCCGGAACUGCCUUUGAUACUGGAAGUCUUGAAUUCGGAUGCCGUGGGAGGAAUGAGUAGUGUAGCGGUGAAAUGCAUAGAUAUUACUCAGAACACCGAUUGCGAAGGCAUCUCACGAAUCCGACAUUGACGCUGAGGCACGAAAGCGUGGGGAU
rnacentral:rRNA from 1 species